rnacentral:rRNA from 1 species
AGAGGGUGCAAGCGUUAAUCGGAAUUACUGGGCGUAAAGCGCUCGUAGGUGGUUUAUCAAGUUGGCUGUGAAAGCCCCGGGCUUAACCUGGGAAGGCCAGUCAAAACUGACUGACUAGAGUACAGUAGAGGGUAGUGGAAUUUCCGGUGUAGCGGUGAAAUGCGUAGAUAUCGGAAGGAACAUCAGUGGCGAAGGCGGCUACCUGGACUGAUACUGACACUGAGGAGCGAAAGCGUGGGGAGCGAACAGGGAUUAGAUACCCUGGUAGUCCACGCCGUAAACGAUGAGAACUAGCCCGUUGGAACCCCUUAGGGUUUUAGUGGCGCAGCUAACGCGUUAAGUUCUCCGCCUGGGGAGUACGGCCGCAAGGUUA